AACGAACGCUGGCGGCAGGCUUAACACAUGCAAGUCGAACGCCCCGCAAGGGGAGUGGCAGACGGGUGAGUAACACGUGGGAACGUACCCUUUACUACGGAAUAACGCAGGGAAACUUGUGCUAAUACCGUAUGUGCCCUUCGGGGGAAAGAUUUAUCGGUAAAGGAUCGGCCCGCGUUGGAUUAGCUAGUUGGUGGGUAAGCCUACAAGGCGACGAUCCAUAGCUGGUCUGAGAGGAUGAUCAGCCACAUUGGGACUGAGACACGGCCCAAACUCCUACGGAGGCAGCAGUGGGAAUAUUGGACAAUGGGCGCAAGCCUGAUCCAGCCAUGCCGCGUGAGUGAU
rnacentral:rRNA from 1 species